rnacentral:rRNA from 1 species
GACGAACGCUGGCGGCGUGCUUAACACAUGCAAGUCGAGCGGUAAGGCCCUUUCGGGGGUACACGAGCGGCGAACGGGUGAGUAACACGUGGGUGACCUGCCCUCAGCUCUGGGAUAAGCCUGGGAAACUGGGUCUAAUACUGGAUAUGACUCCACGGUGCAUGUCGUGGGGUGGAAAGCCUUGUGCGGCUGAGGAUGGGCCCGCGGCCUAUCAGCUUGUUGGUGGGGUGAUGGCCUACCAAGGCGACGACGGGUAGCCGGCCUGAGAGGGCGACCGGCCACACUGGGACUGAGACACGGCCCAGACUCCUACGGGAGGCAGCAGUGGGGAAUAUUGGACAAUGGGGGAAACCCUGAUCCAGCGACGCCGCGUGUGUGAAGAAGGCCUGCGGGUUGUAAAGCAC